rnacentral:lncRNA from 1 species
CCCCCCACAAAUCCAACCACAUUACUUUUACAUUGAGGUCCAAAGCACUUCUCAACGACCUCAAUAUUUGUAAGAGAUGAAUUAAGAUUGAAUCACUUUCUAGAUCUCAACCUAUAAAACACAAGACAUAUUAAAAUAAUAAAGCACAUAAACUUUAAUGGUGUAGCAUGAAAUUUAUGAGUAAACAUACUUAUUUUGCAUUUGUUUCAGGUUCGACAAGCUUGUUAUCCUUCUUACGUGUCUCAAAGAAGAUAGUAUCCAUUUUUGGUGGCUUACCAUCUUUUCCUUCCUUCACAUAUAAAUAUAGUGGUAAAAGAAAUCAAAUUAACAGAGAAGAGGCUUUCUAAAAAGCUUCUUGCUUUACUUACUAAUUCAUAAAUAAUCUCUCUAAUAGGCUUACUACUAGUGCGAUGAGGCAUACACAACUUAAGAAUUAUUGACUGAGUUUCUUGUACUUAUUUCCUAUAUCAACAAACCACCAUUGAAAUUAUGGUCAUCCAAUUAAAAUAACUUGCUAAUAGAUCAUAGGUAUGAAUUAAUACCUUUGACUAUUCACUUAAGAAAAGCUCUCUAACAAGUCAUUCCCAAUCACCCUUGUCUACAUCUUUUGACACAUCUUUUAGAGUAUCACAUAAUGUGUUAGACUUCACAUUCUUGUGGAGUGAUCCUCUCCAAUUAUUUAACAACCUUCACACUUGUUGCAAGAAAUGUUCUUUUUUAUCAUUCUUGCGUCACCGACAAAUUUAUCCUACAAUAUUACAGAAGUCUCAUUUUCAUAUUUUCAAGAAAGAUGCAAUACUAGAUUCAAGAAGGUUUUAUAAGAAUUAACAAUGUAAAAUCAUGACCCAUAUUUCAAGGAUGAAAUAACAUAUACAAGGAGGAAAUAACAUAAACAUAUUUCUUAUGAGCAUGUAAUGAAGGUGUUAAAGCCUAGUACCAGCAUCGGUGCACCAUAAAGGCCUAUACUAGCAAGUAUCAGUAAGUUGCCUAUUUAAGUUCUAUUAGAACAAAUCCAGUAAACAAGGCCCUGCUCCAAAGUUUCAUGGGUUCUAGCUACAGUGAUCGCUAAGUACAUCGUAUUCACUUGAUCUUAGAUGUUUCUUAGUUUAUUUAGUAUGGUAGAUAACUGUUUGACUUUGUAGCUGGUGCUUGUAAAGAUACUAGUUUCUUGGUUUUAAUAUAAAAAAUGCUAGUUAUCAGAAUAAAGUAACAUCAACACUAACUAUGAGAGAGUGGUAUAUAUACUAAUUGGGUCUAUUAUCUAUCUACCAAUGGAUCAUAAAUGUGAGUUGCAGCCACAAUCAAUUGAUGCGUAGGCUGUUGCAACUAAAUGUAGUAGGCUUGGUAUGGUACUUACUCAUCUAGCCUAGACACAAAUUUAUUGUCUGGCAAGCAACUGGCUAAUCAAGAGAAAUUGCUAACAAAAGAGAGGAAGAUUUGACUACAAAUACAAUUAGAAGAUGACAAGUGUUGUAUAUAUAAAGAUAACAAGCUGGAAACUCGAUUAGAUCUAUUAUCAAAAUGUACUCACUACUCAGCUUGCCGGAGAGUGUAGGAGUUGUCCAGAUCAACGAUCGAUCUCCUGGCAGCCUCAUUUGGGGGGACAAAGUAGUUGGUAAUAUUCUAUGAAGGCAACAAACGAUUCACUAUGUACUGAAAAUGAAAUGCUAUUUGUAAAAAAACAACACUCAAGACAGAACUAGCAAAUUGGAGUACAAAAGAUGAAGGUAACAAAAAGCUUAAUAUGGAUAAAGGGAAGGCGCUCGAAAAAUAUGAAAAAGAAUUAGUUACGGCUAUAUGGGGAGAUAGAAUCUACCACACUUGGAGAGAAACAAAUUGAAAAAUAUUCAGAGAGACAGCUAAAAAUACAGAUAUUACAUUUGUACAAAUAAUAAAGAGAUAGCUAAAAGAGUGGAUUUCUUGAAACACAAUAGGAAAGUUAAUAGAUGUAGAUACCUGGUCGAAGAAAUUUGUAACUAGGUGAUACAAAUUUACUUUAUGUGCAGAACAAAAUAGUCCAUAUCAGCAUCAUCCAGCUUAAAAAAUUAAAGAAAAUAAUGUUGUAAAUCCUUACCAUAACAACAUUCCACAUGUAUUCUAGCCUAUCGAUCUUUUAUUACGUACCCUCAAUGGACACAUAUGUUUUCACACUAAUGAGACUUGUAGGAUUCAGACAUUUAUAGGAAGUUUUUUGUCCUUUCUCACCUAAAAUACAAUGGAACUUCAGGACAAAAAAAAUCUUUGCUUAGAGACUUUUUAGAAGCUACACUCAAAUAGCUCACCCUUACUAAAGGAAGAAUGCCCUGAUCAGUUUCACACUGGGAGAAGGAUGGUACCGAUCAGAGAAAGUAGUGCUAAGUAUAUUCUACGCAAAGUUGGGCCUGAGAAGAUUUUAAAUUUUUUGAAUAACUAGACUAGUAAAGUGCAGUUGGCUAGCACCAUCAAUAGUCCCCCUAAAGGAAGAACCCAAGAGUGACUAAUUUUAUUCAUAAUGUAUAUUGGAAAGUGAACAUGUUUAAAGUUGUUUUCCCUUAACAAGUAGUUCAGAAAAUUAUGAGCAUCCAAAUUUAUGAUGAAUAAAAGAUCUACGAAUUCGGUCCAUCCACUAUAGUGGAAAAUUCACCUGUCACAAUACUUCAGAGUCUGCUAUGAGAUAGAGAAACAACCAAUGCAUUACUUCAAACAUGAUCUGGCAUCGUAAAAUGAAAUAUCACUUUCAAGAUAUCAUUUUUUGAUUAUGAGACUAUCGAGAAUUAGACUGCCAAUUGACAGUUCCCUCUAAAAAUUCAAAGUUCUUGGCCACUCUAGGUGUUGUUGGUGCAAACAGUAUUUCGAUGAAAGUAUGGAACACAAGUUUUAUAACAAUGGCUUGGUUAAAUACGUACAAACCUUUAGCAACACGAACAUAAUUAAGGAUAUGACUAAACUACAGUAGUGCACAAAGCAAAAUAACAUUAAGUUAAAAUAAAAGGAAAAAAAACCUAACGGAUACUCAAAAAUUAGGGAAAAUAAAAAAUUUGAAAAAUUUAGACAUUCCACAAAGCAAUUGAGAGUAAAAAUAAUACAAACUUACCUUGAAGAGAAGAAAACGCAAGUGUUGAGAAAACUAAUAAGCCCAUAAGCAGUAAGAAGAGAAGAUUGGUUCUCUUUAAGGAAUAAUAGAAUGUGUACUACAAUUAAAAUAGAGAGAUCUUGUUGCCUACUUAAAUAGAAGGAACUAAGAGACCUUCGGCCUAAUUUCUCUUAAUAAACAUUGAAAUUGACGUACCUUAUUCAUUUUGAUCUUAUAUGUUUCUUGAUUGUCCUCUGGCUAAUUUUCUUCCAACAAAUUGACACUCCUAAUUUUAAACUGAGGGAGCCCUAUGGCUAGAUAAAUUUAGGGUUAAUACAGACUUGGGCAGAAUAAAAAAUCCCCAAAUCUCAAAUAGAAUAGGAGAGAAGAAGGUAUUGCAGAUUUUACACAAAUUUCUCUAUUGGUACUGGAGAUAAGUUGUGCUUCAGUUAGGAUUCUCUAAUAGAAUGAUAGAAGAUCAGAAACUUCAUUAGUGAAUCUAUUUUCUUACGGAGAGGAGGAGUGGGGUAUGUGGACUAUUUUUUUAUGGAGAGGAGGGGUGGCGUAUGUCG